AUACGGAGGAUCCGAGCGUUAUCCGGAUUUAUUGGGUUUAAAGGGAGCGUAGGCGGACGCUUAAGUCAGUUGUGAAAGUUUGCGGCUCAACCGUAAAAUUGCAGUUGAUACUGGGUGUCUUGAGUACAGUAGAGGCAGGCGGAAUUCGUGGUGUAGCGGUGAAAUGCUUAGAUAUCACGAAGAACUCCGAUUGCGAAGGCAGCUUGCUGGACUGUAACUGACGCUGAUGCUCGAAAGUGUGGGUAUCAAACAGGAUUAGAUACCCUGGUAGUCCACACAGUAAACGAUGAAUACUCGCUGUUUGCGAUAUACAGUAAGCGGCCAAGCGAAAGCGUUAAGUAUUCCACCCGGGGAGUACGCCGGCAACGGUGAAACUCAAAGGAAUUGACGGGG
rnacentral:rRNA from 1 species